rnacentral:tRNA from 1 species
GGAGAGAUGGCAGAGUGGCUUAACGCGCCGGUCUUGAAAACUGAAGUGCCGGCAACGGUACCGUGGGUUCGAAUCCCUCUCUUUGCGCCA